UACAGAGGGUGCGAGCGUUGUUCGGAAUUAUUGGGCGUAAAGGGCGCGUAGGCGGUGCGGUAAGUCACCUGUGGAAAUCUCCUGGCUCAACUGGGAGCUUGCAGGCGAAACUGCCGUGCUGGAGUGUGGGAGAGGUGCGUGGAAUUCCUGGUGUAGCGGUGAAAUGCGUAGAUAUCAGGAGGAACACCUGUGGCGAAAGCGGCGCACUGGACCGACAACUGACGCUGAGGCGCGAAAAGCUAGGGGAGCAAACGGG
rnacentral:rRNA from 1 species